UACGUAGGGCGCAAGCGUUGUCCGGAAUUAUUGGGCGUAAAGAGCUCGUAGGCGGCUUGUCACGUCGGAUGUGAAAGCCCGAGGCUUAACCUCGGGUCUGCAUUCGAUACGGGCUAGCUAGAGUGUGGUAGGGGAGAUCGGAAUUCCUGGUGUAGCGGUGAAAUGCGCAGAUAUCAGGAGGAACACCGGUGGCGAAGGCGGAUCUCUGGGCCAUUACUGACGCUGAGGAGCGAAAGCUAGGGGAGCAAACGGG
rnacentral:rRNA from 1 species